AUUUUUCUUCUAAGUUAAGUCAAGAUGAAUUCAAUACUUGUUCCCUUUAUCAUUUAAUGUUUAAUUUGAAACGAUUACUUUGUUAUCGAUCACAUGUAAUUAUAAGCUAACGAUAAGCACAAAAGGGUGGCCACUUUUGAACUUUUAGCCGAGACGAUUGAUAAUAAAACGCACGCCGCACGCCGCACGUACGCACUGCAAUUGUCAAGCAGAAAA